AUGCAGCCCCUUCCCCUUCUGACUAUCUUUUUGUUAACUUCCAGGGAAAAGAGAAGCCAGAUGAAGACAGGAUGGACCACUACCUCUGGUGAAGCAGAGAUGACAUCUUUGGUUGAUGAGCUCAAAGCAGAAAUGGCCCAGUCCCUUCAAGAGAUGGCACUGCCCACUUCACUCCACAUUAAGAGAAGUCUUGACACUAUCACUUGCACUCCCAUUAUUGCCACUAUCUCUACAAAAUCAAACAUUACAGACACACAUUCUUGUGGGAGGGCAGUAGGCAUGAGAAGGAAUUAUUUCCUCCAUCAGAAUCUUUCUUCAGAUGUUCUGGCUUGGGACUUGCUGUGGCGUGAAGGGGAUGGACUUUCUAUAUACCUGGGGGAUGAGCUUGGAGAGAAGAACUCUCUUUGGAGGCUUUCAGUAGAAGAAUGUAUUCUGUCUUGGGAAUAUGUUCAGCAUAUUCAGAGCUAGUGAAUGCCUGGCACCUGAAAAUAAGUGAUCCCCACUGAGGGUCACCAUGGCGAUUCAACAGCUAGAAGGGUCUGGAGGAGAUGCACAUGAGACCUGAGGUUGGUACUAACUAUGCGAAAAUAGGAAACUUUCUCAUCUUUCCCAGCAUCCUUUUCCUCCUGUGUAAAAUGGGAGCAAUUGCCUUUGUUUACAGGGCUGUUAGAAAGUUUAGAUGAGACAAUAGGCAUAAAAGUACUCAAUCAGAGGCUAACAUGAGUGCUAUAAAGACAAAAGAGUGCUGGUAAUUCUGAGCAGGCAGAGGUUAAUGUGUGGAGUCAUCAGAGAGUCCGGUGGAGAAGAUGAGCUAGACACAUUGAAUUCCUUGAAUUGUUGAUGAUUUUUCAGCUUUUAUCUUAACGUUACAAUAAUAAUACGUGCUCAUUGUGAAAAAUUUUGGGUGGGGAACAUAAACAAGAAAAUUGAAGUCUUUUCUAGUCUUGUCACUCUAGUCAAGCACUCUUAUCAAUGCUUGUUAACAUUUCUGGGAAAUCUUUACCACAUGUAACUUGGGUGAAAGAGAGGAGAGAGAAAAUUCUGGUCAUUUACUACUGUUUGAACAUAGAGGCUUGGCUUAAGCAAGGAGAACAUUUGGGUCAGGGGUGAGAAACUGUAGCAGAAGAUAAAGUUGGAGACAGAUCAGACAGGUUCUGUAUGCAAAGGCAUCAAUAGUUUCCCUUCUGAUUUUUUUAAAAGGAAAGUCGUAAAACCUUAACUUUCUGUCUCUCUUCCUGCUCUUUCACCUUCUGAUCUUUAUCAAUGCUCUCAAACAAAUUGACAUGAAUUGCCAUGGGAAAGGCUAUUACCUAGCCAAGAGAACAAUGGGAUUGAGGUGCCAGAGUCAGUUGUCCUCUCCUAUGAAAUAAAUUGUGGGUCUGUGCUGGAUUCUUGUAUGGG
rnacentral:lncRNA from 1 species